rnacentral:rRNA from 1 species
GGCGGCGCGCUUAACACAUGCAAGUCGAGCGAGAACCAGGCCUUCGGGCCUGGGGACAGCGGCGAACGGGUGAGUAACACGUGGGUAAUCUGCCCUCGGCACCGGGAUAGCCCGGGGAAACCCGGAUUAAUACCGGACGGCCUCUCGAGCCCUCGGGCUUGAGAGAAAAGGUAGCUUCGGCCUCCGGCCGAGGAGGAGCCCGCGGCGGAUUAGCUUGUUGGCGGGGUAAUGGCCCACCAAGGCGACGAUCCGUAGCUGGUCUGAGAGGACGAUCAGCCACACUGGGACUGAGACACGGCCCANACUCCUACGGGAGGCAGCAGUGGGGAAUCUUGCGCAAUGGGCGAAAGCCUGACGCAGCGACGCCGCGUGCGGGAAGAAGGCCUUCGGGUUGUAAACCGCUUUCAGGAGGGACGAAACCACUCGGGUUAAUAGCCCAGAGGGUGACGGUACCUCCAGAAGAAGCCCCGGCUAACUACGU